GGGUUGUGAGGUUAAGCGACUAAGCGUACACGGUGGAUGCCCUGGCAGUCAGAGGCGAUGAAGGACGUGCUAAUCUGCGAAAAGCGUCGGUAAGGUGAUAUGAACCGUUAUAACCGGCGAUGUCCGAAUGGGGAAACCCAGUGUGAUUCGUCACACUAUCGUUAACUGAAUACAUAGGUUAACGAGGCGAACCGGGGGAACUNGAAACAUCUAAGUACCCCGAGGAAAAGAAAUCAACCGAGAUUCCCCCAGUAGCGGCGAGCGAACGGGGAGCAGCCCAGAGUCUGAAUCAGCUUGUGUGUUAGUGGAACGGUCUGGAAAGUCCGACGGUACAGGGUGAUAGUCCCGUACACCAAAAUGCACAGGCUGUGAACUCGAAGAGUAGGGCGGGACACGUGGUAUCCUGUCUGAAUAUGGGGGGACCAUCCUCCAAGGCUAAAUACUCCUGACUGACCGAUAGUGAACCAGUACCGUGAGGGAAAGGCGAAAAGAACCCCGGCGAGGGGAGUGAAAAAGAACCUGAAACCGUGUACGUACAAGCAGUGGGAGCACCUUCGGGUGUGACUGCGUACCUUUUGUAUAAUGGGUCAGCGACUUAUAUUCUGUAGCAAGGUUAACCGUAUAGGGGAGCC
rnacentral:rRNA from 1 species